GGAAAGACCCCUUUGUGUUCCGCCCAGAGCGGUUUCUUACCAAUGACAACACGGCCAUCGACAAGACCCUGAGUGAGAAGGUGAUGCUCUUCGGCUUGGGAAAGCGCCGGUGCAUUGGGGAGAUCCCGGCCAAGUGGGAAGUCUUCCUCUUCUUAGCCAUCCUCCUGCAUCAGCUGGAGUUCACUGUGCCACCGGGCGUGAAGGUGGACCUGACACCCAGCUAUGGGCUGACCAUGAAGCCCAGAACCUGUGAACACGUCCAGGCCUGGCCACGCUUCUCCAAGUGAAGAUGGCCGAGACAUCGGCCGCCACCCUUGUUCCUUUUCCUUUCUUUUUAAAUAACAGCUUUUUCAAGAUACAAUUCCUCCACCAUUUAAUUCAGCUCCAAUCAAUUUUCAAUAUUGUCUACACUGUUCCCUGCAAACCCAUACCCAUUAAGAUUUAUGACUAUUCCUCCUACCCUGUUUCGCUUGCUGUGCCACGUGCUAAUCUAGUUUUUGACUCAAUAGAUUUGCCAACUCUGGCUGUUUCAUAUAAAUCCAGUGAGUUAUGG
rnacentral:lncRNA from 1 species